GACAGGAAGCAUUUUUUAAAAUGUUGCUCAUCUCCUGUCUCUAGGCGCCAUUGUAUCCACUGUCUGAUGAGAUGACCAACAGCUGGGACUUGUAUAGGUAGCUGGCCCAACUUAUUUUCUGACUUGAGCCCCUCUUCAUCUUCCAAUGCUCUCUGAAUGACUGACUGUAGAAUGGAAAGAGAGUAGCCUAACAAGGCAGGGAAUGGAAAAGAAGAUUCAACUCCUGGCUUCCCGGAGGAGGCAGAGUGGAAGGAGGUGAAGACAGGGAAGCAAAAGAAGAUUAUGAAGAACCUUGAAUGGACAGUGAGAGGAACUGCCACCUGGUUGCCCAGUCUUCAUGUUGCUGAGAUUUCCCCCAAGACAAAAAUCUUCACAAAGUGUCUAAGGGCCUGCUCCAGCACCCAGUGAAACCAAGUGAAAGAUUGCCAUUGACACGGGUCUUGGUUAGGAACCCCCUUGCUUUAGUAAGCACGUAGAGGUGCAAUGUAAUCUGUCACCAGUUCUGUACCAAGGCUUUUUAUUCCCAACUUUGUAUCUGAGACAGUCACUUUAUUGAGAGCAAAUGAAAGGUGUGUGAGACAUGGACAACUGAAGGUUACCUCAAAGGAAAUUCAGGAGGCUGCUGCCUAGCAGGGAAGUGUGACACUAAGCUCCCCGUCUUCAUACCCUACUGACUGUUAUAAUCUGUAUCUAAACAGUAUCAUGUAAUACAUCAUUGGGGAGCUUAUAACUCCCUGGUUAUUAAUAUCAUUAUGUAAUGUACAUGCAAUGAAUUGAGGCAAAGUUAUGGAUGUAAACUGAAAUUAUAAUUCUUAAAAUGUGUUUCCAGUCAAAUAGGAGUUACCCCACCCUAAACAAAGGAAUGUGGUUUCUCCACAGGCCAGUUACUUCCAAAGUACUUUGAAAGACAAUGAGAAUUCAUUUUAUAUAUGAGAUAUACAAAACUAUCAAGCUAACAAGUUGGGGGAGGAGACAGUGUGGCUACACCCCAGCAGGGAAGAGAAACUUCAUCUGAGAUAUAUAGAAGGGGAAGGGUAGGAGGGCCAAACCUCAAACAAUUGAAUCAAUUGAUUGAACACACUAAUAUUGUAUCAUCUAAGGUCUUUGGUGAUUAAUAUCGUUGUGAAAUGUCUGUAUUAAACACAAUAGGAGGAAUUAUGAAUA